UACGUAGGGCGCAAGCGUUGUCCGGAGUUACUGGGCGUAAAGGGCGUGUAGGUGGUUUCGUAAGUCUGGCGUGAAAUUUUUCGGCUUAACCGGGAAAGGUCGUCGGAUACUGCGGAACUAGAGGACGGUAGAGGCGUGUGGAAUUCCGGGUGUAGUGGUGAAAUGCGUAGAGAUCCGGAGGAACACCAGUGGCGAAGGCGACACGCUGGGCCGUACCUGACACUGAUGCGCGACAGCAUGGGGAGCAAACAGG
rnacentral:rRNA from 1 species